rnacentral:misc_RNA from 1 species
CUAGUAGAUGAAAUAUAGGUGUUUCCUGAAACAGAGUUUCCUUUCUCUUUGGAGAGGAUAAAGAAAUACAAUUUGAUUAAAUUGGAUCUUUCAUCCAUUUAUAGAUGUUUGAUUUAACUUAUUAUUCACCUAACUGUUUUAAUGGAAACAUAAUAUUUUUUUCCCCACAAAAUAGUUGUCUCCAAAGUUUAUGUAAAAAGAAGAUGCUGUUUUCCUCGAUCUAAUAUACUGUACAGAAAUUCUUUAAACUAGAAACUUUGUUUUAUUAAUGAGGUCAAUAUCAAUAACUAAACCUUUAUCUUUUGUGGCUUAAAUUGCAGGAAAGUUGGUUGAUCCAGGUAAAA